rnacentral:rRNA from 1 species
AACGAACGCUGGCGGCAGGCCUAACACAUGCAAGUCGAGCGGAUGUAGCAAUACAUCAGCGGCGCACGGGAUAGUAACACGUGGGAACCUACCUUUUGGUUCGGAAUAACGUCGGGAAACUGACGCUAAUACCGGAUAAGCCCUAUGGGGGAAAGAUUUAUCGCCAAAAGAUGGGCCCGCGCUAGAUUAGCUAGUUGGUGAGGUAAUGGCUCACCAAGGCUACGAUCUAUAGCUGGUCUGAGAGGAUGAUCAGCAUCACUGGGACUGAGACACGGCCCAGACUCCUACGGGAGGCAGCAGUGGGGAAUAUUGGACAAUGGGGGAAACCCUGAUCCAGCCAUGCCGCGUGAAUGAUGAAGGCCUUCGGGUUGUAAAGUUCUUUUGGCGGGGACGAUAAUGACGGUACCCGCAGAAUAAGCUCCGGCUAACUUCGUGCCAGCCGCCGCAGUAA